rnacentral:rRNA from 1 species
AACGAACGCUGGCGGCAGGCCUAACACAUGCAAGUCGAGCGAGGACUUCGGUUCUAGCGGCGGACGGGUGAGUAACGCGUGGGAAUGUGCCCUUCUCUACGGAAUAGCCCUGGGAAACUGGGAGUAAUACCGUAUACGCCCUAUUGGGGAAAGAUUUAUCGGAGAAGGAUCAGCCCGCGUUGGAUUAGGUAGUUGGUGGGGUAAUGGCCUACCAAGCCGACGAUCCAUAGCUGGUUUGAGAGGAUGAUCAGCCACACUGGGACUGAGACACGGCCCAGACUCCUACGGGAGGCAGAAGUGGGGAAUCUUAGACAAUGGGGGCAACCCUGAUCUAGCCAUGCCGCGUGAGUGAUGAAGGCCUUAGGGUUGUAAAGCUCAUUCAGCUGGGAAGAUAAUGACGGUACCAGCAGAAGAAGCCCCGGCUAACUCCGUG